GUCAGCAGCCAUACCACCUGCAUUUCAGACUAGGUAAUCCAUCUGACGCUUAGCAGGUUUGAGCCUGGCCAGUACUUGCAUGGGAGACCAAUUUGGAAAGCUAGUUUGCUGCUGGAA
rnacentral:rRNA from 1 species